AGCUGUCCUUCAGUCUGCUGGUCCUGGCCUGGAGACUCCGCAGUCUCCUCCCUGAUGGUAGCAGGCUGAAGAAGCUGUAUGAUGGGUGGGUGGGAUCACCUGCGAUGAAGAGGGCUUUGCGGGUGAGACGGGUUCCAUAAAUGUCCUGGAGGGAGGGGAGAGAGACACCAAUGAUCUUCUCAGCUGCUCUCACUAUGCAUUGCAGAGUCUUUUGGCAGGACGCGUUGCAGGCGCCAUACCACACAGUGAUGCAGCUCGUCAGGAUGCUCUCGAUGGUGCCUCUGUAGAAGGUGUACAUGAUGGGGGGUGGGGCUCUGGCUCUCCUCAGUUUGCGGAGGAAGUAGAGACGCUGUUGUGAUUUCUUGGCCAGUGCUGCUGUGUUUUCAGUCCAGGAGAGGUCUUCUGUGAUGUGCACACCCAGGAACUUGGUGCUGCUCACUCUCUCCACAGUCGCACUGUUGAUGGUCAGAGGAACGUGCUGAGUGUGCGCUCUCCUGAAGUCAACAACAAUCUCCUUCGUCUUCUCCACGUUCAGAGAGAGAUUGUUGUCACUGCACCACCCGGCCAGGCGGCUCACCUCGCUCCUGUAGUUUGUCUCAUCUUUGUUGCUAAUGAGACCCACCACAGUCAUGUCAUCUGCAAACUUAAUAAAAAGGUUGGAGUUGUGUGAUAGUGUGCAGAACUGGAAUGAUGGUGGUAGUUUUAAAACAUGUGGGAACAACAGCCUGACUCAGUGAGAUGUUGAAAAUGUCUGUGAAGACAUCAGUGAGUUCUGCUGCACAGUCUUUCAGUACACGCCCAGGGAUGUUGUCAGGACCCGGAGCUUUGCGUGCAUUGAUCCUGCUGA